UACGAAGGGGGCUAGCGUUGUUCGGAUUUACUGGGCGUAAAGCGCACGUAGGCGGAUCGAUCAGUCAGGGGUGAAAUCCCAGAGCUCAACUCUGGAACUGCCUUUGAUACUGUCGAUCUCGAGUAUGGAAGAGGUGAGUGGAAUUCCGAGUGUAGAGGUGAAAUUCGUAGAUAUUCGGAGGAACACCAGUGGCGAAGGCGGCUCACUGGUCCAUUACUGACGCUGAGGUGCGAAAGCGUGGGGAGCAAACGGG
rnacentral:rRNA from 1 species